rnacentral:miRNA from 1 species
AACUGAGGCCACUCUGGGUAGA